rnacentral:rRNA from 1 species
UACGAAGGGGGCUAGCGUUACUCGGAUUGACUGGGCGUAAAGGGCGCGUAGGCGGAUGGUACAGUCAGACGUGAAAUUCCUGGGCUCAACCUGGGGGCUGCGUUUGAUACGCGCUGUCUGGAGUUCGGAAGAGGGUCGUGGAAUUCCCAGUGUAGAGGUGAAAUUCGUAGAUAUUGGGAAGAACACCGGUGGCGAAGGCGGCGACCUGGUCCGAUACUGACGCUGAGGCGCGAAAGCGUGGGGAGCAAACAGG